rnacentral:rRNA from 1 species
AUUGAACGCUGGCGGCAUGCCUUACACAUGCAAGUCGAACGGCAGCACGGGUGCUUGCACCUGGUGGCGAGUGGCGAACGGGUGAGUAAUACAUCGGAACAUGUCCUGUAGUGGGGGAUAGCCCGGCGAAAGCCGGAUUAAUACCGCAUACGAUCUACGGAUGAAAGCGUGGGACCUUCUGGCCUCGCGCCAUAGGGUUGGCCGAUGGCUGAUCAGCUAGUUGGUGGGGUAAAGGCCUACCAAGGCGACGAUCAGUAGCUGGUCUGAGAGGACGACCAGCCACACUGGGACUGAGACACGGCCCAGACUCCUACGGGAGGCAGCAGUGGGGAAUUUUGGACAAUGGGCGAAAGCCUGAUCCAGCAAAGCCGCGUGUGUGAAGAAGGCCUUCGGGUUGUAAAGCACUUUUGUCCGGAAAGAAAUCCUUGGCCCUAAUACGGUCGGGGGAUGACGGUACCGGAAGAAUAAGCACCGGCUAACUACGUG